CACAACUACCACAGAGCCCACAACAACCACAGAGCCCACAACAACCACAGAGCCCACAACAACCACAGAGCCCACAACUACCACAGAGCCCACAACUACCACAGAGCCCACAACUACCACAGAGCCCACAACUACCACAGAGCCCACAACUACCACAGAGCCUUCAACAACUACAGAGCCCGCAGCUAUUACAGAGCCCAAUACUACCAUAAAUCUCCCAACAACCACAGAGCCUACAACUUUCACAGAGCCCACAACCCCCACAAAGCCCACAACAACCACACUGCCCAAUACUACCACAGAGACAACAACUACCAACAUACCCAUAACAUCCUCAACUGCCACACCUAUGAAAGUUUCUACAAUUACUGUGAUUUCAACUGUGCCUACAACUUCCAAAGUGCCCAACUCCAUCACAGAGCCUGAACCUACCACAAUAUCCAGAAGUACCCUAUUGAGCAAUUCAACUAUGAUUAUCAAACCUGGAUACACUGUUGGACUGAGUGUGAAGAUCUCCUCUCUGAGAGCGCUGAAAGAUGAUGAGAUCAGAGAAGUCUUAAAGAAGCUACGUGGGAAAAUCCUCAGUCAAGGUUCCCAAGACACAUUUACCGUACGUCUGAGAGCCAUGCAACAAAUCAGCCCCUGAAGGAAAGACACAAAUUUCUGCUCGUUUGAGAAAGAAAUAGUUAUUCUUGCUCACCCCCCCAGUUUAAUAGAUUGAAAAUUCAGAAUCUCUUAAUGUCAUCUCACAGAAUGAUUGACACCCUUAAUAAAAAGUUAUGCAAAAGAACUGUAUAAAU